rnacentral:rRNA from 1 species
AUACGUAGGGUGCAAGCGUUAUCCGGGAAUUAUUGGGCGUUAAAGAGCUCGUAGGCGGCUUUGUCGCGUCUGGUGUGAAAGUCCAUCGCUUAACGGUGGAUCUGCGCCGGGUACGGGCAGGCUAGAGUGCGGUAGGGGAGACUGGAAUUCCCGGUGUAACGGUGGAAUGUGUAGAUAUCGGGAAGAACACCAAUGGCGAAGGCAGGUCUCUGGGCCGUCACUGACGCUGAGGAGCGAAAGCGGUGGGGAGC